AUGAUAAGAAAGGGUGUCCCCCCUGCUACCAAUGAAGGAGAUUCAUCUAAAGAAGAGGAAGAUGUUCAUCAAGGAAGAAGGAAAGGUAAUCUUGGAGCAAGACCGCCACGACAACAUGUUGUUCAACGUGCUUCAAGAAGGCCAAUUUAUGUUGAGGCUUCUGAAGGUGAAGAAUAUGAUGAUGCCCUUGAAGAGCCAAAUCUCUACGCAUAUCGGAGAGCACCCAACCCUACAUAUGCAAGAGAUACAUACAAGGUGAAAGCUGAGAUCCCAAGUUUUAAUGGAAAUGUUAACAUUGAAGGGUGCCUGGAUUGGUUAUAUGAAGUGGAGACUUUCUUUGAGGUCAUGGAGGUUCCGGAAGAUCGUAGAGUUCCUUUGGUCGCAUACAAACUGAAAGGAGGAGCCGGUGCAUGGCGGCAUCACGUUCAAGAGGAGCGCAGGCUGAGAGGAGAACCUCGUGUUAGAACUUGGCGACAAAUGAAAGGCCUUUUGAAAGGGAGAUUUUUGCCCGCUGAUUAUGACCAGAUCCUAUUUAUCCAAUUUCAAAAUUGUGCUCAAGGAAAUAGGACUGUUUCAGAUUACACGGAGGAGUUUCUAAGGCUACAAGUGAGGUGCAACCUUGCUGAAACUGAAGAGCAACAAGUUGCAAGGUACGUCAAUGGUCUCAAUGAUGCUAUUCAAGAUCGAUUGAUGAUGCAACAAAUCUGGUCCGUUGAUCAAGCACAAGCUCUAGCCUUAAAGGCCGAGAGGUUUGUGAGGAUGAGAAAGACAACUAAGGCUCCAUAUCCUCCAUAUCCUCAUACCGAAGGCUCAUCUAGGAGCCAACCUAAUAGAGUGGAAGAAAAAACCACUCCACUAAAGACAAAACAGCCCAUCCCGAAGCAAACUAGAGGCAAGGGUAAGCCAGAUGAAGGUCCAAAGUGCUAUAAAUGUGGUAAAGAGGGACACAUAUGCAGCGGCUGCCCACUAAGGAAAUUUGUUAACACGACUAUCCAUGAUAGUGAAAGCGAUGAGGAAGAAUACGAAUCUGAAGAUGUAGACGGACAAGAGGUUUGUCAAGAAGAAGGUGAAGAGGUGGUAUGUGUGAUCCAGCGUGUCCUAUGUUCCACACCACAACUCGAUGACACACAACGGAAGAAAAUAUUUAAGAGCAAAUGCACGAUGAAUGGCAAGGUAUGCAAACUAGUGAUUGAUAGUUGCAGCUGCGAGAAUCUUAUCUCCCAGAAGUUGGUGGACCAUUUAAAGCUUGAAACCCAUGAUCAUCCAAAUCCCUACACUAUUGGAUGGAUCAAGAAAGGAGUGAAUAUGAGGAUUACCAAACAAUGCAACCUGCCACUUUCUUUGGGUAAGCAUUAUCGCUCAAAUGUGUUGUGUGAUGUGGUUGACAUGGAUGCCAUCCAUGUUCUUCUUGGGAGGCCUUGGCAAUUUGAUGUGGAUACUACACACAAGGGCAAGGAAAAUUCUUACUCUUUCAUUUGGAACAAGAGAAGGAUCAUUAUCUUACCAAACAAACCCGAAGGUAAUACCUCUAAGGAGGAGGGGAAAACUAUGUUAACUAUCUCCCAUACCUCUCAUGAGUUUAUGGAAGACUUGAAGGAGACAGAUUUGUGUGCUGCACUUGUUGUAAAGGGAGAAGAGCACCUGACUGUUGAAAUUCCAGCAAAGGUACGUGGUUUAUUGGCAGAAUUUCAGAACAUACUUGGGGAGCCACAUGGCUUGCCACCGAUGAGAGGAAUUCAACAUAGAAUUGACUUAAUUUCGGGAGCAAGUCUUCCUAAUCUUCCACACUAUCGAAUGAGCCCAAAGAAGCAUGGUAUAUUGAAGGAGAAAGUGGAGGAAUUGUUGCAAAAGGGGCACAUUCGAGAAAGUAUUAGCCCAUGUGCUGUACCAGCUCUACUCGCGCCAAAGAAAGAUGGAUCUUGGCGCAUGUGUACGGACAGUAGAGCCGUUAACAAGAUCACCGUAAGGUAUAGAUUCCCUAUUCCCCGUCUGGAUGAUAUGUUGGAUCAGCUUAGUGGAGCAAGAGUGUUCACAAAGCUAGAUUUAAGAAGUGGAUAUCAUCAAAUCCGUAUAAGACCCGGGGAUGAAUGGAAGACCUCCUUCAAGACAAAGGAAGGGUUGUUUGAAUGGCUAGUCAUGCCAUUUGGACUCUCAAAUGCAUCAAGUACCUUUAUGCACUUAAUGAAUCAAGUCCUUAGACCCUUCUUAUCCCACUUUGUUGUGGUCUAUUUUGAUGACAUCUUGAUCUAUAGCAAGGAUGAGGAUGAACACUUUGAUCACAUUCGGAAGUGUUGGGGAUCGUAG
rnacentral:rRNA from 1 species